UGUGAACUCGAAGAGUAGGGCGGGACACGUGGUAUCCUGUCUGAAUAUGGGGGGACCAUCCUCCAAGGCUAAAUACUCCUGACUGACCGAUAGUGAACCAGUACCGUGAGGGAAAGGCGAAAAGAACCCCGGCGAGGGGAGUGAAAAAGAACCUGAAACCGUGUACGUACAAGCAGUGGGAGCACCUUCGGGUGUGACUGCGUACCUUUUGUAUAAUGGGUCAGCGACUUAUAUUCUGUAGCAAGGUUAACCGUAUAGGGGAGCCGCAGGGAAACCGAGUCUUAACUGGGCGUUAAGUUGCAGGGUAUAGACCCGAAACCCGGUGAUCUAGCCAUGGGCAGGUUGAAGGUUGGGUAACACUAACUGGAGGACCGAACCGACUAAUGUUGAAAAAUUAGCGGAUGACUUGUGGCUGGGGGUGAAAGGCCAAUCAAACCGGGAGAUAGCUGGUUCUCCCCGAAAGCUAUUUAGGUAGCGCCUCGUGAAUUCAUCUUCGGGGGUAGAGCACUGUUUCGGCUAGGGGGUCAUCCCGACUUACCAACCCGAUGCAAACUACGAAUACCGAAGAAUGUUAUCACGGGAGACACACGGCGGGUGCUAACGUCCGUCGUGAAGAGGGAAACAACCCAGACCGCCAGCUAAGGUCCCAAAGUCAUGGUUAAGUGGGAAACGAUGUGGGAAGGCACAGACAGCCAGGAUGUUGGCUUAGAAGCAGCCAUCAUUUAAAGAAAGCGUAAUAGCUCACUGGUCGAGUCGGCCUGCGCGGAAGAUGUAACGGGGCUAAACCAUGCACCGAAGCUGCGGCAGCGACACUAUGUGUUGUUGGGUAGGGGAGCGUUCUGUAAGCCUGCGAAGGUGGCCUGUGAGGGUUGCUGGAGGUAUCAGAAGUGCGAAUGCUGACAUAAGUAACGAUAAAGCGGGUGAAAAGCCCGCUCGCCGGAAGACCAAGGGUUCCUGUCCAACGUUAAUCGGGGCAGGGUGAGUCGACCCCUAAGGCGAGGCCGAAAGGCGUAGUCGAUGGGAAACAGGUUAAUAUUCCUGUACUUGGUGUUACUGCGAAGGGGGGACGGAGAAGGCUAUGUUAGCCGGGCGACGGUUGUCCCGGUUUAAGCAUGUAGGCUGGUUGUCCAGGCAAAUCCGGAUAAUCAAGGCUGAGGUGUGAUGACGAGGCACUACGGUGCUGAAGUAACAAAUGCCCUGCUUCCAGGAAAAGCCUCUAAGCAUCAGGUAACAUUAAAUCGUACCCCAAACCGACACAGGUGGUCAGGUAGAGAAUACCAAGGCGCUUGAGAGAACUCGGGUGAAGGAACUAGGCAAAAUGGUGCCGUAACUUCGGGAGAAGGCACGCUGGUGUGUAGGUGAAG
rnacentral:rRNA from 1 species